rnacentral:rRNA from 1 species
GAUGAACGCUGGCGGCGUGCUUAACACAUGCAAGUCGAACGGAAAGGCCCAAGCUUGCUUGGGUGCUCGAGUGGCGAACGGGUGAGUAACACGUGGGUGAUCUGCCCUGCACUUUGGGAUAAGCCUGGGAAACUGGGUCUAAUACCGGAUAGGACCAUCGUUUAGUGUCGGUGGUGGAAAGUUUUUCGGUGUGGGAUGAGCUCGCGGCCUAUCAGCUUGUUGGUGGGGUAAUGGCCUACCAAGGCGUCGACGGGUAGCCGGCCUGAGAGGGUGUACGGCCACAUUGGGACUGAGAUACGGCCCAGACUCCUACGGGAGGCAGCAGUGGGGAAUAUUGCACAAUGGGCGCAAGCCUGAUGCAGCGACGCCGCGUGGGGGAGGACGGCCUUCGGGUUGUAAACGCCUUUCGCCAAGGACGAAGCGUUUUGUGACGGUACUUGGAGAAGAAGCACCGGCUAACUACGUG